AGUGCCGGUCUCCUCCUACAGGGACGCGCAGCCCGGGACCGCCACGCGCAGCGCGGGAGGGGGAGGGCGGGACCGGGGAACAGGAGGGGAGGGGGACCCGGGUGCUUCCAGCGGUCCGGGCCCGCGGACGGAGUGCGGGCCGAUCCCGCUCACUGUCCCCUUCCGCAGUCCGCGUGCAGCUCCAGGGAGCUGUCCGCCCCGGUGGUUCUGAACCAGGCGCCGCCGAAACGCUCCAGCACUGCCCUCCGGAGCUGUUGAAGAGGAGCAGGUGUUUGCAGAGACUCACAAAAAGGCCCGGCCCCAGUUGAAAGACCAGCCUUGCACUACUUUAUAAGAUGCUGCCAAUGCAGAAUUGUUCAUGAAGCACAUAGAGCUUUUCUACCUCAGCACAAACAGCAUUCACUCUUCAGGUCACUCAUCCAGGCCUGCAAGAGACGGUGAAGCAGGUUUAUUCUCCAGGCCACUUAAGUCAUCUAAAGUAUCCCCUUUUUGGGCAGAAACAGGUGACAUUAAGAGAAACUUGAAAAAAUGUAGAGUGUGGGAUCUUCGAAAGAUUGGAUAGCUCUGGCCUCCUCCUCUCCCAGCCACCCCCCACUCCCAGGCCCAAGUGUCUGCUCCACCAACAUAAAUCAGUGUUGAAAUAUAAAGAUUGAGCUGGGCGCAGUGGCUCACGCCUGUAAUCCCAGCACUUUGGGAGGCCGAGGUGGGUGGAUCACUUGAGGUCAGGAGUUGGAGACCAGCCUGGCCGACAUGGGGAAACCCCAUCUCUACUAAAAAUACAAAAAAGUAGCUGGACGUGGUGGCAUGUACCUAUAAUCCCAGUUUCUUUGGAGGCUGAGGCAGGAGAAUCAGUGGAACCCAGGAGGUGGAGGUUGCAGGGAGCUGAGAUUGUGCCACUGCACUCCAGCCUGGGUGACAGAGUGAGACCUCCGUCCCAAAAAGAAAGAAAGAAAGAAAUAUAAAGAUCUAUGCAUUCCUAAAUCUGUUUGUUCCAGAGACUUUCCAAGGAUCAAAGCAAGAGUAAACUAAAGGUAAACCUGAGAAUGGAGAACAAAGUUACUCUGUUUCAUCAUUAUCACCUCCCUUACACUCCUGGAGGUCAGCAGUCCAAAAUCAGGUCCCCUACACUAACUUCAAGGUGUCUGCAGGGCUGGUUCCAUCUGGAGACUCUAGGGGAGAACCCAUUUCCUUGCUGUUUCCAGCUCCUGGUGGCCACCUGCAUUCCUUGGCUUGUGGCCCCUUCCUCCAUCUUCAAAGUGCAUCACCCAAUCUCUGCUCCCUCACCACAUCACCGUCUCCCCUUCUGUAGUCAAAUGUUCCUCUGUCUCCUUUUUAUAAGCAUUCUUAUUAUCAUAUUUAUGGCCCACGAGGAUAAUCCAGGAUAAUCCCCCAUCUCAAGAUUCUUAAUCAUGUCCACAAAGUUCCCUUUGCCAUGUAAGGUCUUAUUCACAGGUUCCAGGGAUUAGGAUGUAGACACUCUAGAGGGUCAUUAUUAACUCACCACACAAGUAUUCGAGAAUUUUCUCUGUAUUCUGGCUUUAUCAUUUGUUUUGAUUAAAGAAUAUAUAUUUAAAAUAUGCUUUUAUCUUAAAUAUAAUUUCUAUCUUUCACAUUUAUGACUGUUCUCAUACAACUGAGGUUUUGUGGUAUAUAUAAAAUGAUCUUUGACCAAUCUUAUUAAUUCCCAAGGCUCAGCCCUGGGAUUUAGGGAUUUGAUUAAGACCUAUUUCCAGGGAAACUGCUGAUGGCUGCCUUCUCUGGAUUUCCCGCCAAAUCUCCAUGCUCCCUCUGCCUGGGAAUUGUUUUCCAGUCUUGACUGAUUAUAUUUUUUUUAUAUAGAGAAGGGGGAUCUUGCUACAUUGUCCAGACUGGACUUGAACUCCUGGCUCAAGCAAUUAUCCUAACUCAGCCUCCAGAGUAGCAGGGACUACAGGCGUGUCUCACCACACCCAGCAAGACAAAUUUCUUUUUAUCACCAUGCUUUCUUCCAAAUCUCUUGUCUAUGCCACAACUCUUUUCCAUUUACUGAUGAGCUUUUGGAAAUUUAAAAAUUGAGAAUAGACUAAGUUUUCUCUGCUCUCUCCCCUCACCUCUAUUCCCUCAGUCCUUGAGCACAAAAUGUUAUAUCUUGUGCAGUUAAAUAAAGUAAAAAAAGUAAAACCUGGGGAUUGUGAGGGGGUUGAAACAUGCUGAGAAAAACCAGUCAAUUGAUAUUGAAAACACGCCAUCCACUGCAGUUGUAAAACAACUGGACACAUUCCUUUAGUUUUGACUCUAGUCUCCAAGCCGAAAGGUGGCUGGGGAAAGAAAGUGGAGGGACAGGCGGGGCUGGCUUCGGGGUGGAAAUCCGUAGACACAGAGACCUGCCCUCAGGAGUGCCUGGAGCUGGGUCUUGUGCUCUGCGGUGGAUGGGUUGAGAUUUUCAGUGAUUUUAUCUUUGAACUUGUGUUUUGUGAGUGAAGUUGGUGGGACAGAGGAGCAUGUUUCUGAGCAUAGGAGGUAGGAUGACGGCUGUGUCCUGCACUUCUAGCCUCCUCAUCUGCAUGGAGCAUUCAGGGUGCCCGUGAGCCCAGCAUUACCCAGGACAAUGUGAGAGAGGGCAGUGAAUACAAGCAAAGCGAGUGACAUCUGCCACUCAGUAAAAAAGGGCAUGGGCCACCCACAGAGGCCACAUGCUCCCCGCACACCAGAACUUGCACCAGAUGCAGAAAGAAGGCAAUGUUGUUCUAAGAAACAUGAACAACCAGGAACCUCAGCAUAUCCUUCCACACCCCUAUUACUUCCCAGGGUCAGCCAACCACUUACGCUGAGAAUGGUGACAUAGAAGGAAAGGAACAGAUAGGGUAACCCAUAGUUCCUUGUCUUUUCAGCCCUUCCUUACUCAUCAGUUAGCCAGAGGAAGGAGUGUUGGUAGAAUGUGUGUGCAUCAAGAAGCAAAAUAAAAGCAGUUGCGUUUAUUUUGUGCAGGAUUUCCACCCUUCUGUGAAGAACAAAAUCCAUAUGCCUAUACCAGUUUUGAGAUUGAGUUGUGUCAUUCUGGUGGGUCCACAUAUGAGUGAUUCAAAGCUAGCAUUGCAAACUCUAAAGAUAAAUGGUAAAAUUCAUCCUGAUGAUUAAAAUUUCAAAUACUUCUUUACCUAGGGCAGCAUUAAAUAGGAAAUAAAAACACCAUGACAAGCCAAGAGAGAGACCCCAGAAGAAAGAAAAAUUCUUUCUAUUUUAGUAUCUUUAACAGUGCUUUUCUUUAUGCUUUUUGACCAAAAGGUCCUAUAUUUUCCUUUUGCACUAAGGUUGCAAAUUCUAUAGCCAGCCCUGGGAACAGCUGUGCAGUAACUGGAUGACCCUGUGGGGCAAAUGCCAAUGAUUUCCUUCCCUGCCUCCUGCCCUGACACAGUAGCGCCACACAAACCCCCCAAACUGAAAUAAAACCUUAGGGCAAAAGGAAGGACCCUCAAUUUGAAAGAGAUCAUUUCUGAAACAUAGGCGUAUUAGUAUACUAGGGCUGCCACAGCAGAGUCUUACAGACUGAGUGGCUCAGACAACAGAACUUUAUUUUCCCACAGUUCAGGAAUCUGGAAGUCCAAAAUCAAGGUGUUGGCUGGGUUGAUUUCUCUCUCUCUCUUUCUUUCUUUCUUUCUUUCUUUCUUUCUUUCUUUCUUUCUUUCUUUCUUUCUUUCUUUCUUUCUUUCUUUCUCUUUCUUUCUUUCUUUCUUUCUUUCUUUCUUUCUUUCUUUCUUUCUUUCUCUCUCUCUCUCUUUCUUUCUCUCCCUCUCUCUUCCUUCCUUCCUUCCUUGCUUUCUUUCUUUUCUCUCUUUCUCUCUUUCUUUCUGUUUUUUUUUUUUUUUUGAUGGAGUCUGGCUCUGUCACCCAGGCUGGAGUGCAGUGGCACAAUCUCGGCUCACUGUAACCUCUGCCUCCCGAGUUCAAACAAUUCUCCUCCCUCAGCUCCCAAGUAGCUGGGAUUACAGGUGCCCACCUCCAUGCCUGGCUAAUCUUUGUAUUUUUAGUGGAGACAGGGUUUCGCCAUGUUGGCCAGAUUGGUCUCAAACUCCUGACCUCAGGUGAUCUGCCCGCCUCGGCCUCCCAAAGUGCUGGGAUUACAGGUGUGAGCCCCCAUACCCGGCCUCUGGGUUGAUUUCUUCUGAGGCCUCUCUUGACCUGCAGAGCACUGUCUUCUCCCUGUGUCUUCACAUGGUCGCAGCUCUGUGUGUAUCUGUGUUCUAACUGCUUCAUCUCAUAAAUACAUAGGUCAUAUUCGAUUAGUACCCACCCUAAUAACCCUGUUUUAAUUGAAUUACUUCCUUAAUGAUUCUAUCUCCCAAUUCAGUCAGAUUCUGAGGUCUUACAGGUUAGGACUUCAACAUAUAAAUUUUGGGGGGACACAAUGCACCCCAUAAUAAUAGGCAAAAUUGCAUUUGAAACAGAAAUUUAGACACAUUUCAGAAAACUAAAAUUAUAUUUCUUGUGCACCUUAGUAGAUAGACAUAUGGUGAGCCAUCCUUUGCACUUCCAUGUAACUCCACAUAUCCACAAUCAAAACAACUCCCAAGGCUCCCUAGUGUGGGAUUUGGCCCCUUUAUGUUCAGUAGCAACAUAAACCUCCCUGGGGCUUUUGUUUUGUUCUAGCAGAAAAUUAACAGGAAGAGGAAUUGAGCAUUUGGGCAUCUCGUUGGUGUUUGUUCUUAAUCAUACUCUACUCAAUCAUUCAAACCUAAUUAAGCUCUUGGCAUCAUAGAGCAGGGAUAAGUUUAAUUACAUGUCAUUGGCCGCCAGUGUGCCUUUCUUAUUUUUGUUACUAUUUAUGUUACUUUUAGAUACAAGAGACAGGCUUCUUUUAAAAUCCAUAAUUUAUCAAAUAAAAGACACUUGUUGAGCACCUUCUAUGCCCAACACACUAUUAAUUGGCAAAAUUAACCAUUUUGCCAUUUCCUUUGAAGAGAAAGUAUAACUUCGUUUUGUCUUCCUUGAGAAAAUUUCUCCAGGGAGAAUCCUAAAAGUUCAGAAAGGGUUCCAAAGAAAUCCACUGGCAGCUGGCUGAAUCAUUCUUCACAGUAGAGCAGAAUCAUUUUAAAACAGGUUAAUCUUGAAUAUCCAGGCAAAGAGACUGUUUUAAAGUCAUCUCAAACCAUGGGUUCCAUUAUUAUGAGGAAUAGUAGUUGUAAUCUCAAUAGCUACUGUUAAGAACGACUCUGCUUAUUGAAAGCUGCUGAGCUCCCACUGGCAUUAUCUCAUCAUCCUUAGGACAGCCCACUGGGGACACAUUAUUUUCAUCUUCGUCUUAUGGACGAGCACUAAGCCUUGGUGAGAAGUCACACAACUCUCCCAAGGGCCUGGAGCUAUUGAGAGGGCAGCUGGAAUCUCCGUCCAUUCUGAUUCCAGUGCCUGUGUUUGCAAACACUGGGCGACACUGGCCUUUCAAUGUGUGGGACUGCUGAUGGAGGCAGAGGUGAGACAGCAAAGUCACCUGGUCCACCCCCUUCCUCAAGAUGAUCUCAGCACAGCCUGCAGUGACUGCCUCGGAUGGGAAUGACAGCCAAAUGCUGUAGAGGGCGUAUUUCAGGGAGUGGAUAUGGUGGUAAAGGUAUGCUAAAAACUCACAUUGUGGACGGAGGGAAACGAGGCUUGGGGUCUAUAUUGCAGUGGUCUCCAAACAUUUUUUAUUGUGUAUCUCUCUUUCCAAAAAACAAUUUUUAUUCAGAACAUAUGACCAAUGUAAGUAUAUCU
rnacentral:lncRNA from 10 species